rnacentral:rRNA from 1 species
GAGAUAGCUGGUUCUCCCCGAAAUAGCUUUAGGGCUAGCCUCAGGGAAAAGAUUGCAGGCGGUAGAGCACUGAUCAGGAGAGGGACCUACCCGGUUACCAAACCCAGUCAAACUCCGAAUGGCUGCAAUCAUACCUGGGAGUCAGACUGCGACUAAUAAGGGCCGCAGUCAAAAGGGAAACAGCCCAGACCAUCAGCUAAGGUCCCCAAUGCCGUGCUAAGUGGCAAAGGAUGUGGCAUUUCAUAAACAACCAGGAUGUUGGCUCAGAAGCAGCCACCAUUUAAAGAGUGCGUAAUAGCUCACUGGUCGAGAGACGCUGCGCCGAAAAUGUCCGGGGCUCAAGCACGGAACCGAAGCUAUGGCAUGAUAGCAAUAUCAUGGGUAGGGGAGCGUUCUUAUAAGGAAGAAGCAUGACCGGAAGGACAUGUGGACAAAUAAGAAGUGAGAAUGCCGGUAUGAGUAUCGAAAAGAAAGGUGAGAAUCCUUUCCACCGAAAGCCCGAGGGUUCCUGAGCAACGAUCGUCGACUCAGGGUAAGUCGGGACCUAAGCCGAGGCGAGAAGCGUAGGCGAUGGACAACAGGUUGAAAUUCCUGUACCGGAUCAAGUCGAUCGAGCGAAGGAGCGACGCAGGAGGGCACAUGAUCGCGCGGCUGGAAGAGCGCGUCCAAGUGCGUAUGUUGCAGCAGAGGAAAACCCCUGCGGCUGAAAGCAGAGACAUGAUGGGGAGUUAAAGGAAACUUUGACGAACUCAUGGAUCCCACACUGCCAAGAAAAACUUCUAGCGAGACAAGAUCCGCCCGUACCGUAAACCGACACAGGUAGGCGGGGAGAGAAUCCUAAGGUGCGCGGGAAAACCCUCGUUAAGGAACUCGGCAAAUUGCAUCCGUAACCUAGGGAGAAGGAUGGCCCCCGGUCAGUGAAGAGCAGAAACGCUCAGAGCUAAAAGGGGCGGCAGAAAAGAGGCCCAAGCAACUGUUUACCAAAAACACAGGUGCCUGCGAAAGCGAAAGCUGAAGUAUAGGUGCUGACGCCUGCCCGGUGCCGGAAGGUUAAGGAGAGAAGUUAGCGAAAGCGAAGCAUCGAACUGAAGCCCCGGUGAACGGCGGCCGUAACUAUAACGGUCCUAAGGUAGCGAAAUUCCUUGUCGGGUAAGUUCCGACCCGCAUGAAAGGCGUAAUGAUUUGGGCACUGUCUCAACGAGGGGCCCGGUGAAAUUGAAAUACCUGUGAAGAUGCAGGUUACCCGCGACUGGACAGAAAGACCCCAUGGAGCUUCACUGCAGCUUGAGAUUGAAUCCCGGUGACAGAUGCACAGGAUAGGUGGGAGGCGCCGAAGCAUUGCCCUAGGGCGGUGCGGAGCCGAUGUUGGGAUACCACCCUUCUGUUGCUGAGAUUCUAACGCGAGGAGUAACGACCCUGCGGACCCUCUCAGGCAGGCGGUUUGACUGGGGCGGUCGCCUCCGAAAGAGUAACGGAGGCGCC